GGGGAGAAAGGCACCGGUGUGUCUCGCAGACUGCAAAUCUGCUGACCUGCCCGCGAUCCGGGCGGGGGUCCGGUUCAACUCCGACUUCUCCCC
rnacentral:tRNA from 1 species